rnacentral:rRNA from 1 species
GGAAAAGCCCAGCACCGAAUCCCCCGGUUUUGCGCCGGCGGGAACUGUGGUGUUUGGGACGCCGGCCGGCGUACUGUCCCUGUGCCCAAGUCCUUCUGAUUGGGGCCUUUCCCAUAGUGGGUGUCAGGCCUUUAGCGGCACGAGACGGUGCGUCCUCGAGCGUCCUAGGAGUCGGGUUGUUUGGGAAUGCAGCCCUAAGCGGGUGGUAAACUCC